AUGAACGGCGGCGGCAGCGCGGCGGCUGCAAGAUCAAAUUUAGGAGAUUUCUUUGAUCAACUGGAUCUUAACAAUUAAGAGUUUGCUGAUGUAGAGAUCGAUGAGGACGACCCCGAGAUUCAGGAAAGCGUUCGUUGGCUUGCCCUAGCUAGGGUUCAUACAAACAAGAAAUUUAGUCCUUCAGCCUUCUACAAGGAUAUGAGGGCCGCGUGGAAUCCGGCGCAAAGUGUUAGAUUUCGGCCUAUCGGCCCUAAUCGUUUUGUCGUCCAAGCAUCCUGCUUGGGGGAUUGGGAACACAUCAUGUUGCAGGGUCCUCGGCCGUUCCAUAACAUGGUUGUGCUCUUGUGCUCGGACGAUGGCUUCAGCAAAGCAGAGGAGGUAGAAUUCCAUCACCUGCCAAUUUGGCUACAGAUCCACAAGUUGCCGGACCCAUACUGUAACAGAAUAUUGUGGAGAAGCUUUUGA
rnacentral:rRNA from 1 species